GUAACAAGGUUUCCGUAGGUGAACC
rnacentral:ncRNA from 3 species